AGAGUUUGAUCCUGGCUCAGGACGAACGCUGGCGGCGUGCCUAAUACAUGCAAGUAGAACGCUGAAGACUGGUGCUUGCACUAGUCAGAUGAGUUGCGAACGGGUGAGUAACGCGUAGGUAACCUACCUUAUAACGGGGGAUAACUAUUGGAAACGAUAGCUAAUACCGCAUGACAAUUAAGUACUCAUGUACUAAAUUUAAAAGGAGCAAUUGCUUCACUAUGAGAUGGACCUGCGUUGUAUUAGCUAGUUGGUGAGGUAACGGCUCACCAAGGCCACGAUACAUAGCCGACCUGAGAGGGUGAUCGGCCACACUGGGACUGAGACACGGCCCAGACUCCUACGGGAGGCAGCAGUAGGGAAUCUUCGGCAAUGGGGGCAACCCUGACCGAGCAACGCCGCGUGAGUGAAGAAGGUUUUCGGAUCGUAAAGCUCUGUUGUUAGAGAAGAACGGUAAUGGGAGUGGAAAACCCAUUACGUGACGGUAACUAACCAGAGAGGGACGGCUAACUACGUGCCAGCAGCCGCGGUAAUACGUAGGUCUCGAGCGUCGUCCGGAUUUAUUGGGCGUAGAGCGAGCGCAGGCGGUUAUUUAAGUCUGAAGUUAAAGGCCGUGGCUCAACCAUGGUUCGCUUUGGAAACUGGAUAACUUGAGUGCAGAAGGGGAGAGUGGAAUUCCAUGUGUAGCGGUGAAAUGCGUGGAUAUAUGGAGGAACACCGGUGGCGAAAGCGGCUCUCUGGUCUGUAACUGCCGCUGAGGCUCGAAAGCGUGGGGAGC
rnacentral:rRNA from 1 species